rnacentral:rRNA from 1 species
UACGGAGGAUGCAAGCGUUAUCCGGAUUCAUUGGGUUUAAAGGGUGCGUAGGCGGACUAUUAAGUCAGUGGUGAAAUCCUGCAGCUUAACUGCAGAACUGCCGUUGAUACUGAUAGUCUUGAGUUUGGUUAAGGUAGGCGGAAUGUGUAAUGUAGCGGUGAAAUGCUUAGAUAUUACACAGAACACCGAUUGCGUAGGCAGCUUACUGAGCCGACACUGACGCUGAGGCACGAAAGCGUGGGGAUCGAACAGG